UCUGCUAGCAAGGAGCUGUGACCCCACUGGAUUGAUACGGGCCCUGGGGCUUCUGCAAAAUCUUCUGGUUACAGAAGCAGUGUUUUCACUGUGCUUGGCCUUGCAGGAAGCAUUAUAAUGGAGAAUGUUAUUUGAUGCAAGAUACAAAAAUGGGAAGGUGCUGCUGUGAAGAGGAAAAUACUUCAUUUACCCUGUUCCAUCUCUGCUGCAAGGCUGUUCUCUGGGAUAGUGGGGUAAAAUGCCUUAUUUUCAGAGGAGAGAAUUCAGAAGGAUGAAAGGGACCAUGAAGAGGGUGAUUUAAUGGAGCACAGACAAAUUCUGACUAAAGAAAACAGACUUCUGUUUUGAUUUUUUUUUAUCUUGUUUUUUGCUGGUUCAUUAAAAGUGUUUUAUUUACUUUAAA